CAGAGGGGGCAAGCGUUGUUCGGAAUUACUGGGCGUAAAGGGCGCGUAGGCGGCCCGCUAAGUCGAACGUGAAAUCCCUGGGCUCAACCCAGGAACUGCGUCCGAUACUGGCGGGCUUGAAUCCGGGAGAGGGAUGCGGAAUUCCAGGUGUAGCGGUGAAAUGCGUAGAUAUCUGGAGGAACACCGGUGGCGAAGGCGGCAUCCUGGACCGGCAUUGACGCUGAGGCGCGAAAGCCAGGGGAGCAAACGGGAUCAGAUACCCCGGUAGUCCUGGCCCUAAACGAUGAAUGCUUGGUGUGGCGGGUAUCGAUCCCUGCCGUGCCGAAGCUAACGCAUUAAGCAUUCCGCCUGGGGAGUACGGUCGCAAGGCUG
rnacentral:rRNA from 1 species